rnacentral:rRNA from 1 species
UAGGGAAUCUUCCACAAUGGACGAAAGUCUGAUGGAGCAACGCCGCGUGAGUGAAGAAGGGUUUCGGCUCGUAAAACUCUGUUGUUAAAGAAGAACAUAUCUGAGAGUAACUGUUCAGGUAUUGACGGUAUUUAACCAGAAAGUCACGGCUAACUACGUGCCAC